rnacentral:rRNA from 1 species
AUGCAAAAUUUACAUUCUCACAUCUUGUAUUUGGACACAGCCAAUCCCCAUCUCGUCGCCAAGACUUCUCAGUACCAACAACACGUCUUCUGCUAUACCAAUUCUGCCAUUGCCCAGGCUGAUUGUAUCCAAAGCAACUCUUAUUUCUUAGGUCUCCACAGCAGCUUCGACUCACUGCCCAACUGCCUCACCAAUUACCUCCUCUGCGGCACUCUAUUCUCUUGCAAUUUCUAUACCUCACAACCAACAGCAAGCAACAACGGUCAGCAAGUGCAGGCAGCAGAGAAACACCACAACCACCCUUCUUCUCUAGCAGCAGCACCAGAACAACAAGCAGCUCCAGCAAACUCAGCAGUAGCAGUCACAGACCAAACCAGCUGCACACAACAGCAAUCGGCAGACUUCCUCCUUCAAUCAGCAAAACCAGCAGCAAGUCAACUCAGCACCACGCACAGCAACUCCCGCGUGCUCACCCAGUAG